AAGUCGUAACAAGGUCUCCGUUGGUGAACCAGCGGAGGGAUCAUUACAGAGUUGUAAAACUCCAAACCCACUGUGAAUUUACCUGUUUCGUUCCUUCGGCAGGCGGCCCUCGGGGGGGCUUCGCCGUCACUGGCGCCUGCCAACGGACAAACCAAACUCGGUUAUUUAAACGUAUUCUCUGAGCAACUUGAAAAAACAAGUCACAACUUUCAACAACGGAUCUCUUGGUUCUGGCAUCGAUGAAGAACGCAGCGAAAUGCGAUAAGUAAUGUGAAUUGCAGAAUUCAGUGAAUCAUCGAAUCUUUGAACGCACAUUGCGCCCAUCAGUAUUCUGUUGGGCAUGCCUGUUCGAGCGUCAUUUCCACCUUCAAGCCCUAGCUGCUUGGUGUUGGGGUACUCUACGGCCCUGCCGUAGGCCCCGAAAAUCAGUGGCGGUCUCGCUAGGACCCCGAGCGUAGUAGAUUUCUUUCUCGCUUAGGGGAGCCGGGCGGGUUUCUAGCCGUUAAACCCCCAAAUUUUUACAAGGUUGACCUCGGAUCAGGUAGGAAUACCCGCUGAACUUAA
rnacentral:rRNA from 1 species